rnacentral:rRNA from 1 species
UGGGGAAUAUUGCACAAUGGGGAAAGACCCUGAUGCAGCGACGCCGCGUGAGUGAAGAAGUAUUUCGGUAUGUAAAGCUCUAUCAGCAGGGAAGAAAAUGACGGUACCUGAGUAAGAAGCCCCGGCUAACUACGUGCCAGCAGCCGCGGUAAUACGUAGGGGGCGAGCGUUAUCCGGAUUUACUGGGUGUAAAGGGAGCGUAGACGGCGAUGCAAGUCUGGAGUGAAAACCCAGGGCUCAACCCUGGGAUUGCUUUGGAAACUGUAUAGCUGGAGUGCAGGAGAGGCAGGCGGAAUUCCUAGUGUAGCGGUGAAAUGCGUAGAUAUUAGGAGGAACACCAGUGGCGAAGGCGGCUUACUGGACGGUAACUGACGUUGAGGCUCGAAAGCGUGGGGGAGCAAACAGGAUUUAGAUACCC